rnacentral:tRNA from 1 species
GUCUCUGUAGCUUAAAUACCUUAAAGCAUUG